AUUCAUAUCUCAAGGAAUUGAAUAUGAGAUUGCAUCUCGUAACUGUUUAUUCUUAUCUCAAGGAAAGGAUGAUUUUGUAUUGUUAAAAAAAAAAAAUCAGUUUUUUAUUGUAGUACAAGUAAAUCGAAUCUUAGUUAUUCGUAAAAAUUAGUAGCAUCAGCAUGAUGGACAUCGAUUCCUCUUGUUGCAUUGGAGUUUCUAAUACCCUAGAGCUGUCCAAUUUUUCCUUUGUUUAUUUAGAUAAGUUCAAGAGGUUUUUUGUUCUUUUCGUGAGGUUUGAUUGACCCCUAGUUUUGUGGUGGUUUCUUGUAAUUUUGAUUCUUCUUUAUUGUAUCUGUUUCUUAUCGGAUGAACAGAAGGAAGUCAGUUGUCUUAUUAUCUAAAACAUGUUAAAAUACCAUGAUGAAUAGAUUCGACUAAUGAAGUAAAGGGUGAUGAAGUGUGAUGUUAAUUUGUGCUCUCAAGAUAAGUUCUGAAAGAAUCUCUGCAUUUCUUUAAAUAUAUGCCAAUGAUGCCUAAAAAUCAGAAAAGAACAAUAAGAAUGAAAGAAAAGAAACGGAGCUUCUUUCUUUUCAUCUCUUAAUAAGAGAAUUCUUGACAGGGCACUAGUAAAGUGUAUUCUUUCUUUUUGAACAAGAGACAAAUUUUGCGUUAUAAACGAGAAGUUAGAAAAAUGUUCAAGUAUACAAGUGAAAAGAAAACCAAACAAAAAGAAAAAAAAAAGUGAAAAGAAAAGAAAAAAAGUAUUAUCCAAAUAAUACGUGAGCCAAAAAAUAAAGAGUUAAAGAACAAAAUAUCUAUGAAGACACCAACCACUAACGAACCAAAACUACCAAGACUACUCCCACCAAGCUGCAAAUCUGCUGACCAGAAGAAAAAACAACCAGAAACCAAAUUUGGAAAGUGAAUUAAUUCCUACUGCACAACCUCAAAAAAGAAAAAAAGAAAAAAAGAAAAAAAAAAAAGAACCCUAUCAGGCUAUAUUAGCUUAAAAAACUGAAAAGUAGACUUCCUCGAUAAAGGUAUAGUUCAAAAUUUGGAUAGAGAGAAAACGGAGGAACCCUUUCACGAACUUCUAACCAAUUAAAGAAAGACUCCAGAGAGACAAGGCAAGUUAGAUAUGAUUAUAAAUAGUAUAUAUAGAAGUAUUAAGUGCAAUGCUAACAAAUAUAAUUGGUUUAAAAGUUAGAGCAAAAUCCUAUUGUCUAAUUCAAGGAAAUAUUCUGUCGUUGAGACAUGAGUGGUAAAAAAAAAUGUGAUAUUAAAGGAAGUACCAGUUGGUUUAAUCUCCCUUUCCCAUCCGCAUAUUUUUAAUCUCCCUUUCCCAUCCGCAUAUUUUUAUUUAUUUGUCAAGUACCAGUUAUCCGCUUGAUGUGAUCUGCAAUGCAUUUGAUAUGCAUUUAAUCAAAUGUGUGCAAAUGGUGAUAAAAUGUGGCGUGCAUUGAAACAAAAAGUGAUAUGCAUUGAAACAAAAAGAGAUAUGCAUUGAAACAAAAAGGCUCACAGAAUAUCACUUGACUCUACUGCCCAAGUAUAAAUAGAUUGCGUUGGCAAAUAAUACCUGGGUUCUCUUGGGUCGAUUCCACAGGGAGUUUGACACUUUUGAUUCAUAAAGAGAAGAUUGACAAGCAAAAAUACAGACUACAAAAUAGCCCGAUUUAUAAAAAGUAGUUUGGUUUGGUGAUGGAACGGAAAUGAAAAUAAAUUAAGUAAUAAAUGGAUAUUAACUCUGAAUAACGGCACAAUGCUUGGCUCUUUAGCUACCUAUGGUGAACCUUUCCUAUUCAAGGAGUCCUACAAGUGCCUCCCCCUUCCAGUAUUGCACUAUGCUAAAUAGGUAGUUAGAUUCCUUUGUGCUACUCUUGUUCAUUAAACACUGCAUAAAUGUGCUACUACUUUGUAUCAGUUGCCCAAACUGAUAAAAGUAAUUUCAACACACUUUCAAGUAGAAGAACACCAAGAAUUUUUGGAGAAAUUUUCAGCAAAUACAAAAUAAGAGUAGCUCAAAAUAGGGGCCUUAAAUCAAACCUUACAAAAACAGAGAAACUUUAUAGAAGUGGUAAUCUUCCUCUCCAACACUACGAGGGUGGUUCUCACUCCUCCCUUGCGUCCCCUCAGGCGAAGACUUGCUGCUCCGACUCCACAACAAGGUUACCAUGAAAACCCCUAUUCUCUCAGACAAGCCUUAAGAGAAUUCUCUCAAAAACUCCUAUUAGAAAAAUAAGUUUCCCUCCUUUCGCGAAGAAAUGACUCCCUAUUUAUAGGCAAAGCUUACCAUGGAUCUCAGCGCAUUUUCAUCUCCACACACACUGAAUAUCACGUGGAAGAGGACAAAACGGACCAGACGUAGGUUAACAACUCUGCAACAGUAACACACACUAUGAUACGAUCGUUAGGAGCCUUUGUCUCUUGUCAGAGUAGACGUGAUCUCCUCUUUGUGUUUAGCGCAGUAUGCCUUGCGACGAAGGAAUUGUCCUCAUCUCGACGCAUUUGUAUGCUUUCCUAGCACAACAUUCGCUGGCGUGCCUUAGAUCUCGCACGACUUCCUCCCUUUUCCUUCUUUCUUUCAUGCGCUUGACAUCCCUUUUUUUGACGCAUUACCAUUGCGUUGAGGGUUUCAGGCCAGUUCUUUGGAUGAUAACAAUGUGGAAGAAUCCUAUGCAAAUGCUUUUAUUUCCUUAUUUCAGUCGCAUUCAAAAUCGAAGAAGUUAAAGAGUUACUUCCAAAUCACAUCUCAGAAUCUCAAUGUCUUUCUUCAACUUCUAUUUCUUGCAAGUUUUCAUCUUUAAUCGAGCUUUGUGGUUUACAAACGCAUGAAAUUGCUUC